rnacentral:rRNA from 1 species
UACAGGGGGUGCAAACGUUGCUCGGAAUUACUGGGCGUAAAGCGCACGUAGUCGGCUUUGCAAGUCGGGUGUGAAAUCCCCGGGCUCAACCUGGGAACUGCAUCCGAGACUGCAUUGCUAGAGUAUGGGAGAGGGAAGCGGAAUCUCUGGUGUAGCAGUGAAAUGCGUAGAUAUCAGAAGGAACAUCAGUGGCGAAGGCGGCUUCCUGGACCAAUACUGACGAUCAGGUGCGAAAGCGUGGGGAGCAAACAGG